GGGGAGCAAACAGGAUUAGAUACCUUGGUAGUCCACGCCGUAAUCGAUGAAUCCUAGGUGUGGGGGUUUCAACACCUCCGUGUCGCCGCUAACGCAUUAAGUAUUCCGCCUGGGGAGUACGGUGGCAAGAUUAAAACUCAAAGGAAUUGACGGGGACCCGCACAAGUAGCGGAGCAUGUGGUUUAAUUCGAAGCAACGCGAAGAACCUAACCUACACUUGACAUGCCUUGCAUUACUCUUAAUCGAGGAAAUCCCUUCGGGGACAAGGUGACAGGUGGUGCAUGGUUGUCGUCAGCUCGUGUCGUGAGAUGUUGGGUAUAAGUCCUGCAACGAGCGCAACCCUUGUCGUUAGUUACUACCAUUAAGUUGAGGGCUCUAGCGAGACUGCCUGGGUUAACCAGGAGGAAGGUGGGGAAGACGUCAAAUCAUCAUGCCCCUUAUGUGUAGGGCUACACACGUGCUACAAUGGCUGGUACAGAGAGAUGCAAUACCGCGAGGUGGAGCCAAACUUAAAAACCAGUCUCAGUUCGGAUUGUAGGCUGAAACUCGCCUACAUGAAGCUGGAGUUACUAGUAAUCGCGAAUCAGAAUGUCGCGGUGAAUACGUUCCCGGGUCUUGUACACACCGCCCGUCACACCAUGAGAGUUGGCAAUACCCGAAGUCCGUGAGCUAACCGCAAGGAGGCAGCGGCCGAAGGU
rnacentral:rRNA from 1 species